rnacentral:rRNA from 1 species
UACGUAGGGGGCAAGCGUUGUCCGGAUUUAUUGGGCGUAAAGCGCGUGUAGGCGGCUUGGUAGGUCCGCUGUGAAAACUCGAGGCUCAACCUCGAGCUGUCGGUGGAAACCACCUUGCUAGAGUCCGGAAGAGGAGAGUGGAAUUCCUGGUGUAGCGGUGAAAUGCGCAGAUAUCAGGAAGAACACCAAUGGCGAAGGCAGCUCUCUGGGACGGUACUGACGCUGAGACGCGAAAGCGUGGGGAGCGAACAGG